UUCAUGAUGGGCACCAGUCGA
rnacentral:misc_RNA from 1 species